CAGAUGUGUGUAAGAGUGAGUGGACUGAGUAAGGGUCAAACUUGGGAAAUUAGUGGGGGGAUUGAUUUUUUACCUUUCUUCAUUUCUUUUUCUUUCUUGAAAAUUUUCCCUGUCUCUUCCAUAAUCAUGGCAUCACCUUUC